rnacentral:rRNA from 1 species
AGGGGGAGACAACAGGGAUUGCCCCAGUAACGGCGAGUGAAGCGGCAACAGCUCAAAUUUGAAAUCUGGCCCCCAGGGCCCGAGUUGUAAUUUGCAGAGGAUGCUUUUGGCGACGCGCCUUCCGAGUUCCCUGGAACGGGACGCCAUAGAGGGUGAGAGCCCCGUCUGGUCGGACGCCGAGCCUCUGUAAAGCUCCUUCGACGAGUCGAGUAGUUUGGGAAUGCUGCUCUAAAUGGGAGGUAUAUGUCUUCUAAAGCUAAAUACCGGCCAGAGACCGAUAGCGCACAAGUAGAGUGAUCGAAAGAUGAAAAGCACUUUGAAAAGAGGGUUAAAUAGUACGUGAAAUUGUUGAAAGGGAAGCGCUCACGACCAGACUUGAGCCCGGUGAAUCACCCAGCGUUCUCGCUGGUGCACUUCGCCGGGCCCAGGCCAGCAUCGGUUCGCCGCGGGGGAGAAAGGCGUCGGGAACGUGGCUCCCUCGGGAGUGUUAUAGCCCGUCGCACAAUACCCUGGGGCGGACCGAGGUUCGCGCAUCUGCAAGGAUGCUGGCGUAAUGGUCGUCAGCGACCCGUCUUGAAACACGGACCAAGGAGUCGUCUUCGUAUGCGAGUGUUCGGGUGUAAAACCCCUACGCGUAAUGAAAGUGAACGCAGGUGAGAGCUUCGGCGCAUCAUCGACCGAUCCUGAUGUUCUCGGAUGGAUUUGAGUAAGAGCAUACGGGGCCGGACCCGAAAGAAGGUGAACUAUGCCUGUGUAGGGUGAAGCCAGAGGAAACUCUGGUGGAGGCUCGCAGCGGUUCUGACGUGCAAAUCGAUCGUCAAACAUGGGCAUGGGGGCGAAAGACUAAUCGAACCUUCUAGUAGCUGGUUUCCGCCGAAGCUUCCCCUCUCCAGGAGAGAACUG